rnacentral:rRNA from 1 species
UACAGAGGGUGCGAGCGUUAAUCGGAAUUACUGGGCGUAAAGCGCGCGUAGACGGUUUUGUAAGUCAGAUGUGAAAUCCCCGGGCUCAACCUGGGAAUUGCAUUUGUGACUGCACGGCUAGAGUGUGUCAGAGGGGGGUAGAAUUCCACGUGUAGCAGUGAAAUGCGUAGAGAUGUGGAGGAAUACCGAUGGCGAAGGCAGCCCCCUGGGAUAACACUGACGCUCAUGCACGAAAGCGUGGGGAGCAAACAGG